rnacentral:rRNA from 1 species
UACGGCGGGGGCUAGCGUUGUUCGGAAUUACUGGGCGUAAAGCGCACGUAGGCGGCUUUGUAAGUUCGAGGUGAAAGCCCGGGGCUCAACCCCGGAACUGCCUUUAAGACUGCAUCGCUUGAAUCCAGGAGAGGUGAGUGGAAUUCCGAGUGUAGAGGUGAAAUUCGUAGAUAUUCGGAAGAACACCAGUGGCGAAGGCGGCUCACUGGUCCGGUACUGACGCUGAGGAGCGAAAGCAUGGGGAGCGAACAGG